GCUGGGUCUUCCAACAUGACAAUGACCCGAAGCACACAGCCAGGAUAACCAAGGAGUGGCUCUGUAAGAAGCAUAUCAAGGUUCUGGCGUGGCCUAGCCAGUCUCCAGACCUAAACCCAAUAGAGAAUCUUUGGAGGGAGCUCAAACUCCGUGUUUCUCAGCGACAGCCCAGAAACCUGACUGAUCUAGAGAAGAUCUGUGUGGAGGAGUGGGCCAAAAUCCCUCCUGCAGUGUGUGCAAACCUGGUGAAAAACUACAGGAAACGUUUGACCUCUGUAAUUGCAAACAAAGGCUACUGUACCAAAUAUUAACAUUGAUUUUCUCAGGUGUUCAAAUACUUAUUUGCAGCUGUAUCAUACAAAUAAAUAGUUAAAAAAUCAUACGUUGUGAUUUCUGGAUUUUUUUUUUAGAUUAUGUCUAUGGGCUGAAAUAUGUGCCACCAGAAUCUGAAUUUGAACCCUUUAUAUUUGAAUUUGAAUGGCUAAACUUGAAUAAUUGCAUUGAAAAACUGAAUUUGAAUCACAUAAUUUGAAAUUGUAUUGUUUAAUUAAAAUUUAAUUUAUUCAAAAACUGAAUCUGAAUUGUAUCAUUUGAAAUUGAAUUUAUUCGUUUGGAACUGAAGUCCAAUAAAAUCUGAUCCUCACUGAAAAUUAAACUCUCUAUAUAUCUUCACAUUUCACUUCUCACAAUUCAGAUUCAGUUCUCAAAUUCAAUUUCAAGUUACUGAGACAGACAUCCGGGUAGUUGGAGGAUGAAGGAAGAGCAAUCGAGCGCAGAUCGAUAGAUAGCGUUCAUUGGCGCACAGGACUCCUCUUGGGCCAAUCAGCACCAAUGUUUUUGAGCACAGGGCGUUACCCGCCAUGAAACAAAGAAGUGCUUGCCUGACUUGCGUGACCACCACCAUGGAUUCGUCUGGGACAAAUACGAUUCCUGCUGCUCCAGUAGCUCUGAUCGACUUCUCCUCUGCUAAAGUCAAAAAAAAAAAAGCUUGACCGUUCUAUUGAUGGCAGGACAACUGAAAACCAGUUAUGGAUGCAAACAUGAAGCACAAGCCAGAGGAGUCUAUGAGAAGCUGAUGGGUCGGGAGCAUGCAGGCUUCUCCUGUAUGGACAGUGGUCUCUGGCUGAACCCCAAGUGGCCAUACAUGGGGUCCUCCC